GACGGAGGGGGCAAGCGUUGUCCGGAAUCACUGGGCGUAAAGCGCACGUAGGCGGGACGGUGCGUCGGUGCUGAAAGCGCCAGGCUUAACCUGGCGAGGCGUGCCGAUACGACCGACCUCGAGGCAGACAGAGGGUGGCGGAAUUCCGGGUGUAGUGGUGAAAUGCGUAGAGAUCCGGAGGAACCCCGGAGGCGAAGGCGGCGCCCUGGCUCGCAACUGACGCUCAGACACGACAGCAUGGGGAGCGAACGGG
rnacentral:rRNA from 1 species